AGUGGAUUAGUGGCGAACGGGUGAGUAACACGUGAGCAAUCUGCCCUUGACUCUGGGAUAACUGCGGGAAACUGUAGCUAAUACCGGAUACGACACCUUGGGGCAUCCCGAGGUGUGGAAAGAAUUUCGGUCAAGGAUGAGCUCGCGGCCUAUCAGCUUGUUGGUGAGGUAAAAGCUCACCAAGGCGACGACGGGUAGCCGGCCUGAGAGGGUGACCGGCCACACUGGAACUGAGAUACGGUCCAGACUCC
rnacentral:rRNA from 1 species